rnacentral:rRNA from 1 species
CCUACGGGAGGCAGCAGUGGGGAAUAUUGCACAAUGGGCGCAAGCCUGAUGCAGCGACGCCGCGUGAGGGAUGACGGCCUUCGGGUUGUAAACCUCUUUCAGUAGGGAAGAAGCGAAAGUGACGGUACCUGCAGAAGAAGCGCCGGCUAACUACGUGCCAGCAGCCGCGGUAAUACGUAGGGCGCAAGCGUUAUCCGGAAUUAUUGGGCGUAAAGAGCUCGUAGGCGGUUUGUCGCGUCUGCCGUGAAAGUCCGGGGCUCAACUCCGGAUCUGCGGUGGGUACGGGCAGACUAGAGUGAUGUAGGGGAGACUGGAAUUCCUGGUGUAGCGGUGAAAUGCGCAGAUAUCAGGAGGAACACCGAUGGCGAAGGCAGGUCUCUGGGCAUUAACUGACGCUGAGGAGCGAAAGCAUGGGGAGCGAACAGGAUUAGAUACCCUGGUAGUCCAUGCCGUAAACGUUGGGCACUAGGUGUGGGGGACAUUCCACGUUUUCCGCGCCGUAGCUAACGCAUUAAGUGCCCCGCCUGGGGAGUACGGCCGCAAGGCUAAAACUCAAAGGAAUUGACGGCNGAGAGNGCGAGACGACACGAGGGAGAGG